UGAGAUACUGGUCGGCAACAAGCCGGUGUACGAGUACGAUGCCGUGACGGACACGUAUUCGGUGAACUCUGGUCCGACGGUGGUUGUCCACGCUGUCUUCUUUGUCCACUCAAAGGCUAUAUCGAUCAACUGGAACGUCCCAGGCUUUCCAUGCCAGUACAGCACGGCCGGUGUUAAGAAAGGACUGGAGGGUCACACCUACCUAACGCUGCCCGAAGGAAGCCUGGUUCCCCACGGCUCCUACACUGCCCAUCUGGAAGUGUGCGAGAAGUCCCACUGUGGAGGCAUCAACGUGUCGCUGAACGCCAAGCCCGGGCCGUCGCUGUGCCGACUGCAGU